UGCAAAUUAAAGCAAAGAGGUGGGACCUAGAGGUAGCAGGAGCUUAACUAUCUAUGUAAAAAGGGUAAACAAUGACAUAUACAGAAGAAAACGCUGGAAGCUACAAUGAAGAAAUAUUACCUUCUCACUGUUCUUUUUGCUACCUGCACAGAUGUGCUGUGUGAAGAUGCAGUAACACAGUCAAGUGAGAUCUUUACAAAAGAAGGAGAAGAUGUACAUUUCUACUGCAGUUUUAAGCAGGUUUAUCCAAAUGUUUACUGGUACAAACAGUUACCUAAUCAAGGACUAGAACUUGUGAAUAAUGCACUUGGUAGUUCCAAGUCAGAUGGUCGAUUUAAUCUGACAAAAAACAACAGCACCUCCUGGACGUUCAGCAUCAGGGCGGUAACACUGCAAGGCACAGCCACGCACUUCUGUGCUGCAAGUGACACAGUGAUUGAGGUGAAUGUAAUUCUGAGACGAAAAACCUGCUCCUUCUCACAGCUAUAUGAGAAAACAUAUAUAUUCAUUAAAAGAUGUGCAGAGUUUUUAUUUUAGUGGAUCAGAUUUUUUUGGUUUUCUAUAACAUGUAGGUAGUGAAUAGAGCAUGCUGAUAAUGAUCCGAUAUUCAGGAAAAGACAAAUGAGUUAAGUACUACUCUCAAGGCAAAAUUCUCUGCAUCCAUGACUCAAAGACAUAAUAAGUAAGUUAUGGUCGGUGACACAGUCAUAAUCCUCUAUUUUAAAAGCAUGGAAGAACACUUGUAGCCACACUGUUUUAACUUCUUUAUGUGCUCAGAAGUAGUAAUACUUCAAAUCAAAGGUGUGACAAAAGCUAAAUCUAGGAGGACUAAGAAAUAUGCCAACAUAAAUCAAUGAAAUCACAAUUCUGCUUCCAGUGGGCAUUACAGCUUCAGUAACAUAUCAAAGGUACUUGCAAUAUUAGCGUGGAGUGUAUUUUCAAGUUGUGAGUAUAAACAAAGGCUCUUAAACUGUUCUUUUAUAGUAAGCAUGUAUUAAUUUAGAUUUUCAGCAGACUGCAAAAUUACAGAUAAUUCAAUUAAAAUAUAAUUCUGCUUCAAGAUUGCUUUACACCAUCAACGACAUACCAACAAUAAUUUGCAUUGUAUGCAGUGAAUAUGUUUUCAGGAUGGUUGUGGAUGUUAAUAUGUUAUUUUGUAAUAAUCAUACCUUCCUUUAAGCAUUUGAACACGGUGAAAAUCUAGACAAAUAUUAUAUCCUUUUUAUUUAAGUUUUGAAUUUUAUCUCAACACCACAGAUCUCCAAAGAUAUUUGUAAUAAACAUCGUCUAAGUCUUCAAUGCAAAUGUCUUGAAACUAAAUUCAGAAUUUCAGAAUUAAAAAAAAAAACAUAUUUAUAAGUGGGAAGAUACUGAUUAUUUAAAUGUGUGUCUCUAUUUUUCUUUACUUAUAUUGUUAAUUAAGGGUUAAAGGACUACCAAUCUUUCCUAAGCAUUUGUAUUUUCUUUGGUAAACCAGAAGAAAGUCUCUGUAAAACAUGAAAAGUGUUACAAACUGAAGCUGUGUAAAAUGUGCAAUUGUCCUCCAGAAAAGACGUAGUAAAAUGUAGAAAAGCUGUAACAUCUAAAGCUCAGAAAAAAGAAACAUGAACUAUUCUACAAGCU